rnacentral:rRNA from 1 species
CCUACGGGGGGCUGCAGUGAGGAAUAUUGGUCAAUGGGCUUACGCCUGAACCAGCCAAGUCGCGUGAGGGAAGACUGCCCUAUGGGUUGUAAACCUCUUUUGUCAGGGAGCAAUUGGCGCUACGUGUAGCGUUAUCGCGAGUAACUGAAGAAAAAGCAUCGGCUAACUCCGUGCCAGCAGCCGCGGUAAUACGGAGGAUGCGAGCGUUAUCCGGAUUUAUUGGGGUUAAAGGGUGCGUAGGCGGAAUGCCAAGUCAGCGGUAAAAUCGCGGGGCUCAACCUCGCUCCGCCGUUGAAACUGGCGUGCUUGAGUGGGCGAGAAGCAUGCGGAAUGCGUGGUGUAGCGGUGAAAUGCAUAGAUAUCACGCAGAACUCCGAUUGCGAAGGCAGCAUGCCGGCGCCCAACUGACGCUGAAGCACGAAAGCGUGGGGAUCGAACAGGAUUAGAUACCCUGGUAGUC